ACAACAUCAUAAACAUUUUAUCGGUUACUGUAGUAUAUGCGCUGGUAUCAGCUUCACCAUGUCCACAGGAAAAUGUUUAAGCCUAGUAGCGGAAGGCAUUGUACUGGUGCAUUCAUUCCAUGUCUGACCACUGUUAUACUUAAAAUGAACUGGUUAUUGUAGAUUAAAGACCAAAUCAUGCUGAAGUGCUAUAAAAAAAACUGUGAUAUAUGUCUUGUAAUUGCAUGAUAUUUUUUUGAUUUAAAGAAGAAAACAGUUUGAGUUUUCAGAUUACCAUUCUAGAAAUUUACUGAUUAUAGAGGUAUAGAGUGGUAGAAAAAUAUUUUUGAUGUGGUCACCGCUUAGAGUUCAAUCCUCAAAGCUACAAGUAAUAUUGUUAAUUUGCAUAAUAUGUAGUCAAAUAGCCACUCAGUGUUUCAUUGAUGCACCCUGCAAUCUCACCAUGGUAACAAUGACUUCUCUGUUUUACUGCCAUUGUUUUGUUUGUUCUAUAUAAUGGGAAAGAUACCAGUUUGUUAUUCAAUGUAUGAAACUCAAAUUCUGCAUUUUCUAAUAGUCAAAAACUCAUGGUCAUGCAAUUCUGGUCAUUUUUUUAAAUUACACCAAUGUUUUCACAACUCAUUUUGACUAAUCAAUAACAGCUGAUAUUUGUAGUUUUCUCUUAUUAUAUUAAUUGGGUAUGUUUGACUUUUUUCUACUUUUUCUACUAAUGUUUAUUUAUAUCAUCUGUGUUCAAACUUUGAAGAUAUUUUUGACACCUGAUAUUGUUAUCAAAAGUCAGGGUUAUCUCUCUUUUUAUCAUCUCAUAAUAUACUAGCUGGGCUAUUAAACAUUUUGAGGAAUUUUGGGGGAAAAAAUAUUUAACACCUACAUUGAAGUGAAUAUGUAGGGGUUUUCAAGAGUAAACUAGAUUAUGUACAUGUAAACAUUUCAAGAUAUUGUCCCUAAUUUAUCAUAGUUUUCACAUUGUGAAGUUGACUGAGGAAUUGUAUGUUGAAAUUUCUGUGGUGCUUUUCUUUGUAUUAUUCUAUAUGGAAGGUAUUGAACUAAAAAAUAUAUUUUCAUACAA
rnacentral:misc_RNA from 1 species